rnacentral:rRNA from 1 species
ACUCCUACGGGAGGCAGCAGUGGGAAUAUUGCACAAUGGGCGCAAGCCUGAUGCAGCCAUGCCGCGUGUGUGAAGAAGGCCUUCGGGUUGUAAAGCACUUUCAGUUGUGAGGAAAGGUUAGUCGCUAAUAUCGGCUAGCUGUGACGUUAGCAACAGAAGAAGCACCGGCUAACUCCGUGCCAGCAGCCGCGGUAAUACGGAGGGUGCGAGCGUUAUCCGGAUUUAUUGGGUUUAAAGGGUGCGUAGGUGGAAGUAUAAGUCAGUGGUGAAAGUUUGCCGCUUAACGGUAAAAUUGCCAUUGAAACUGUAUUUCUUGAGAGUAUUCGAAGUAGGCGGAAUGAGUAAUGUAGCGGUGAAAUGCAUAGAUAUUACUCAGAACACCGAUUGCGUAGGCAGCUUACUAGGAUAUUUCUGACACUGAUGCACGAAAGCGUGGGGAGCGAACAGGAUUAGAUACCCUGUAGGCUCUG